rnacentral:misc_RNA from 1 species
GAUGAGAGUAGUGAAAUGCGAUAAGUAAUGUGAAUUGCAGAAUUCAGUGAAUCAUCGAAUCUUUGAACGCACAUUGCGCCCGCCAGUAUUCUGGCGGGCAUGCCUGUUCGAGCGUCAUUUCAACCAUCAAGCCCCAGGCUUGUGUUGGGGACCUGCGGCUGCCGCAGGCCCUGAAAACCAGUGGCGGGCUCGCUGUCACACCGGGCGUAGUAGAUUUUAUCUCGCUCAGGGCGUGCUGCGGGUUCCGGCCGUUAAAAAGCCUUUUUUACCCAAGGUUGACCUCGGAUCAGGUAGGAAGACCCGCUGAACUUAAGCAUAUCAAUAAGCGGAGGA